rnacentral:rRNA from 1 species
GAGUUUGAUCGUGGCUCAGAUUGAACGCUGGCGGCAGGCCUAACACAUGCAAGUCGAGCGGAUGAAGGGAGCUUGCUCCUGGAUUCAGCGGCGGACGGGUGAGUAAUGCCUAGGAAUCUGCCUGGUAGUGGGGGAUAACGUCCGGAAACGGGCGCUGAUACCGCAUACGUCCUGAGGGAGAAAGUGGGGGAUCUUCGGACCUCACGCUAUCAGAUGAGCCUAGGUCGGAUUAGCUAGUUGGUGGGGUAAAGGCCUACCAAGGCGACGAUCCGUAACUGGUCUGAGAGGAUGAUCAGUCACACUGGAACUGAGACACGGUCCAGACUCCGUACGGGGAGGCAGCAGGUGGGGAAUAUUGGACAAUGGGGCGAAAGCCUGAUCCAGCCAUGCCGCGUGUGUGAAGAAGGUCUUCGGAUUGUAAAGCACUUUAAGUUGGGAGGAAGGGCAGUAAGUUAUACCUUGCUGUUUUGACGUUACCAACAGAAU